GGCAGAGUGAGAGAAGCCAUGGAUCCUCUGCCUGAGAUGGACGCCCGUUGGAAUCUCUGCAGGCAUUGAUUGGAUGUCACCAGGCACACAACAUUUUAGGUGAACGCUGUGGAAGACAGAAAGGUGGGGCUGUCUUUAAGUGAAACUUGACGGGUAGAAGAGAUAAGGCAUAUGCAGUGAAUACAAGAGAACACAUGCAAGGGACAGGGAGAAAUAAAAUAUCAGCAAAGCAUUUCGUCUCCGGCUAGAUAAUGAAGAGGAUUCACAGAGCAGAUUGGAUGAAAUCAGCGGCAAGGAUCUAAAAGAUGCAGGCCCCUUCUCAUGUCGAGUGUGUCUUCUGCUUUCGACGUUGUAACCAGGCUGGUAAAGUUGAGCGGUCUGAAGUGCUGGUGACUCACUCAGUUCGUCUCGUCAGAACACAGCUUCGAGCGCGGCUCUGGUAAAAUGGCGGCUCCAGGGCAAUGAUGGACCCGAAGCGCUUCUUUAUCUGGACAGUGUUUGGGACAGACAGACUGCUCUCCUGACGAUGCUUUGUCAAUGACUGCAAGUGCAGAACAGAGUGUGAAAACCCAUACCCACCUGGAGCUCAUCGAAUGUGUGCACCCAGGGCUCAACUGCGGGAGGCUCCAUGACACCAAGGAAGGCACCCCGAGCUCAGCUACAGGAGGCUCCGUGAUACCGAAGUUAACACCUGUGCUGGAAAGCAAGAGGAUGCAACCUGUGAGCUGUGCAUCAGUUCUUCAGCUUUAAGGAACAAUCCUGUUUGCCAAAGUUAACCUCCAUCAACAUCACAAGCGAGGCGCGACAAGAUGGAAAGCUACUUGUAUUUUCCACAGCUAUUCUUUGAGGAUUCGAAGUCCUGUUUCAAGGAACCCGUGGAAAGGUCCAGAAAACCAAAUAUACAAAACCACACCAAUGUGUUUACUUUGUAAAUUCUCAAAGCUGAAUCAAAGAGCAGUGCAAUGGCUCAAAUGACUGAAGAGAAUGUUCUAUUCUAGUGCCUCAAGGUGAAAUUAGCACCAGAAUAGACACCAUAAAGGCAGAUUAGAAGACAGGGCCUGAGAGGUUGGCCUGGGUUCUUUGGCCAAGCAUUCUGGGGUAUAUUGUAUUUGGUUUCAAACCCUCAUUUUGGAAAAACAUCAUUUAGAAAGUGCAAUGGUUUAGACGUUGUCUCCAGGGUCCAUAUGUUUACAGCUCUGUCCCCAGGGCAGUGAUUUUGGGAGAUGGCUGGGGACCCUUUAAGAUGUGGGCCCAAUAGGAGAGAUCCUUAUGCCACUCAGAGCUGGGGACCCUUUAAGAUGUGGGCCCAAUAGGAGAGAUCAUUAUGCCACUCAGAGCUGGGUUCUCAAGAGAAAUUGUGAAGCCUCAUUCUUUUCCCGUUUGAUGACAGGAUCUCCCCCUCUCACAAGGCUCCUGCCAUCUACCAAGAAGUGAUUGGAGUGUCGUGGGUUCCCUUGUAAGAACAUUAGCCAUGCUGUUUCGACUUGCAGCCUUCCCAGCUGUGGGAUAAAUAAAUCCUUCCUUUAUAAAGUCA